rnacentral:RNase_P_RNA from 1 species
GGGGGGGGAACCCCACGGACCAGUGCCACAGAAAGCAGACCGCCGCCUAGCUGGACUCGCAAGAGUCGGCGGGACGGCAAGGGUGAAACGGAGAGGUAAGAGCUCACCAGCGGCGCGGGUGACCGCGCCGGCUCGGCAAACCCCACCCGGAGCAAGGCCAAAUAGGAGCGCAAUCGGGUGGCCCGCCCGCGCGCUCGGGUUAGGCCGCUGGAGACGCCGGGCAACCGGCGCCCUAGAGAAAUGACCGUCGCCCCGGGCCAGGACACCGCUCGGGGCACAGGACCCGGCUUACAGGCCUUCUCUGGCG